CUGGGUUUUUAGACAAGGUCCCCAGUUGCUGUAGAGCAUGUGGUCUGGAAGCAAUGAGCCUGCAGCAGGGAAACCGCGGACCACAGGGGGUGGCCUGACGUGACCCAGGACACCCAGCUCCGUCUGCACUGUGCGGAUAAACAGCAAAUGCUCUGUUGGUCCCAGAAACCAACCGCACCCAGCUCAGGCAGCCUGGUUCUCCCUCCCUCCCUCCGUGGAAUGCUGGGCAGGGUGCACCAGCCGACCAGAAGUCCCAUCCCGAAGCCUCCUCCUCUGUCUCCCCUGCUGCCUUAUCUUGCCUGUCAUCCUCCUGCACUUCUGGGCAGAAGUGCCCACCCCAGGAAGAAGCCUCAGAGAAUUCUUUCCUAACAAACGCUGUUCUGCAUUUACCUUCAUCGCUCUGGUCACUUCCUAGCAAUCGGGGACAGGACCCUUCCCAGACAUCCACCACCAUGGGCAUAAAGUGUAUAAGCCCAGGGCUCUGAAGCAUCUUAGCACCUCUCCUUGUCAAAACAGCAGGAGCUAUCAUCCAUCCGAUCCAGUCCUUCGGCAGGAUUAACGGAGACUCAGGGAAAGAAGGCACCAGGCCUGGAAGGGAGGCAGAGGCCAGCAGCAACACCUGCCCAAGACGGUCAAAGAGCGCCAAUGUUUAAGGCUGUGAUUAAUCGAGGAACUAGGGCAUGCCAGCAGAGCCAGGAAAGGAGCGUGGUUUACAGGAAGUCUGCACGGAGCUCCCCUUUAACCCCUUCCUUUGGACUCUGGAAACCAGCCCUUCAGAGAUGGGGACCCUCCAAACCAGUUGCCAACUGCACCCCGGACUUCACAAACCCCUUACCCCGGAUGCACAGGCUUGCUGGGAAUCCAACAGAUGCACAUCAAAAUGACGCCCAGGCAAAAAAUGCAAAGCUUUGCCAACAGGUCGUCAUGGCGAGGCAGUGGGGAAAUCAGCAAUUUCCUGCAGAGUCAGCAAGAAUGUAAAUCAAUACAGUCAUGGAGGGAAAUACAGAAAUAUCUGGCGAGAUUAUUCGCGUACAUGAGUCCCCUUUGAUCCAGGGUUACGUGCUUUCAUGGCAAGAGCGACCCCGCGUAGUGAGCGCCAUCGAUAACCUCACUUUACCUGGGGAAACUGAGGCUCGGGGUGGCUAUUCGUCAGGUGGCCAAAGUUGACCACUACUAGAAAGGGUGGCAGGCUCAACAUGACUCACUGGAGAAAACUCGGCUCGGCUCGUAACCAUGCAACUCGGUCCGCGGGAAAGGCGGGUUCCUUUCGCACACGUGCGGCGAUUGCCUCAAAGAACAGGAGGCUCUCUUGGCACUGAUAUUAAACAAUCUCUAAGGGACAUUGUUUGUGAAAAAGCAAGGUGUGACCCAGGCAGGGAGACCCGGAAGUACAGGACGCAGAGAACACUGAUCACUUGUUUUCAAAACUCCCCAACGCUUACCAAUGCGUAAGGUGCCUCUGGAAGGAACCAGAAGUUCAACCGUACUGUGAUAUUUGAGACCUGGAAGUUGGCCAACAGGAAAAGGAGGAAAGUGACCUUUGCCCUGUACACCUCCUUGCAUCUCUUAGCCGUUGAACCAUUUGAGGAUAUCAG